UCGGACGUGGUGUACGGUGCAUACCUGCUCGCAUUGAUGUAUUUGCUUGUCUGAUUGUGCGGGAGGGCCGGGUUCGACUCCCGGCGUCCGAA